rnacentral:lncRNA from 1 species
AAAGUGGCAUUUUGGGGUGAAAACGUCACAUUUUGGGGCGGAAAUGUCACAUUUUGGCGUAGAAAAGCGGCAUUUGGGGGUAGAAAGAAGCCGAAAAGGUGCCUUUUGGGGCCAGGAGAGCCCCGUUUGGGGCAGCGGCCCCCCUUUUGUGGGGUAAGGAGGGGCGUUUUGGGGUUCAGGCCUCGCUGCCCAUCAGCCUCUCCUUGUCGGCGCCGCGGCUCCGGCGGUGGCAGCGUUGUGUGGCAGCGGGACGGGUCAGCAGCAGCGCCAGCAGCGCCAGCAGCAGCACAGCCAGCAGCACACCUGUGGGGUGCCAGCUGCUGCCGUCAC